GACGAACGCUGGCGGCGCGCUUAACACAUGCAAGUCGAGCGAAGCGGCGGACGGGUGAGUAACACGUGAGUUACCUGCCUUAGACAUUGGGAUAGCCUCGGGAAACCGGGAUUAAUACCAAAUGGUCUAAGAUGGACUCGCCUCCCAUUAGAUAGUUGGUGAGGUAACGGCACACCAAGGCGACGAUGCGUAGCCGGCAUGAGAGGGUGAACGAACAAAUUGGAACUGGGAAACGGUACAAGCGCUACGGGAGGCAGCAGUGGGGAAUAUUGCACAAUGGGGGGAACUAUGUUGCAGCGACGCCGGGUGAACGAAGAAGGCGUUCGAGUCGUAAGGUUCUUUUAUAUGGGAAGCGGUACCAUAAGAAAAAGCCCCGGCUAACUACGUGCGAGCAGCCGCGGUAAUAC
rnacentral:rRNA from 1 species